CCUACGGGAGGCAGCAGUGAGGAAUAUUGGUCAAUGGGCGCAAGCCUGAACCAGCCAAGUAGCGUGAAGGAUGACUGCCCUACGGGUUGUAAACUUCUUUUAUAAAGGAAUAAAGUUAGGCACGUGUGACUUUUUGUAUGUACUUUAUGAAUAAGGAUCGGCUAACUCCGUGCCAGCAGCCGCGGUAAUACGGAGGAUCCGAGCGUUAUCCGGAUUUAUUGGGUUUAAAGGGAGCGUAGAUGGGUUGUUAAGUCAGUUGUGAAAGUUUGCGGCUUAACCGUGAAAUUGCAUUUGAUACUGGCAGUCGUGAGUACAGAUGAGGUAGGCGGAAUUCGUGGUGUAGCGGUGAAAUGCUUAGAUAUCACGAAGAACUCCGAUUGCGAAGGCAGCUUACUAAACUGUCACUGACGUUGAUGCUCGAAAGUGUGGGUAGCAAACAGGAUUAGAUACCCGGGUAGUC
rnacentral:rRNA from 1 species